UCCCGCAAGGGAUGAGUAGAGUGGCAAACGGGUGAGUAACACGUGGGUGACCUGCCUUCAAGUGGGGGAUAACGUCCCGAAAGGGACGCUAAUACCGCAUGACAUCCGACCUUUUAAGAGGUGGAGAUCAAAGCUGGGGAUCGCAAGACCUGGCGCUUGAAGAGGGGCCCGCGUCCGAUUAGCUAGUUGGUGGGGUAACGGCUCACCAAGGCAACGAUCGGUAGCCGGCCUGAGAGGGCGGACGGCCACACUGGGACUGAGACACGGCCCAGACUCCUACGGGAGGCAGCAGUAGGGAAUUGUUCGCAAUGGGCGCAAGCCUGACGACGCAACGCCGCGUGGAGGAUGAAGACCUUCGGGUCGUAAACUCCUUUCGAUCGAGACGAAUGGCUUCCGGGUGAACAAUCCGGGAGAAUGACGGUACCGAGAGAAGAAGCCCCGGCUAACUCCGUGCCAGCAGCCGCGGUAAUACGGGGGGGGCAAGCGUUGUUCGGAAUUACUGGGCGUAAAGGGCUCGUAGGCGGCCAACUAAGUCAGACGUGAAAUCCCUCGGCUUAACCGGGGAACUGCGUCUGAUACUGGAUGGCUUGAGAUUGGGAGAGGGAUGCGGAAUUCCAGGUGUAGCGGUGAAAUGCGUAGAUAUCUGGAGGAACACCGGUGGCGAAGGCGGCAUCCUGGACCAAUACUGACGCUGAGGAGCGAAAGCUAGGGGAGCAAACGGGAUUAGAUACCCCGGUAGUCCUAGCCCUAAACGAUGAAUGCUUGGUGUGACGGGUAUCGAUCCCUGUCGUGCCG
rnacentral:rRNA from 1 species